rnacentral:sRNA from 1 species
GCCGGGCGUGGUGGCACAUGCCUGUAAUCCCAGCUACUCGGGAGGUUGAGGCAGGAGAAUCGCUUGAACCCAGGAGGCAGAGGUUGCAGUGAGCCAAGAUCACGCCACUGCACUCCAGCCUGGGUGACAGAGUGAGACUCUGUCUCAA